GAUGAACGCUGGCGGCGUGCCUAAUACAUGCAAGUCGAGCGAACAGACGAGGAGCUUGCUCCUCUGACGUUAUCGGCGGACGGGUGAGUAACACGUGGAUAACCUACCUAUAAGACUGGGAUAACUUCGGGAAACCGUAGCUAAUACCGGAUAAUAUAUUGAACCGCAUGGUUCAAUAGUGAAAGACGGUUUUGCUGUCACUUAUAGAUUGAUCCGCGCCGCAUUAGCUAGUUGGUAAGGUAACGGCUUACCAAGGCAACGAUGCGUAGCCGACCUGAGAGGGUGAUCGGCCACACUGGAACUGAGACACGGUCCAGACUCCUACGGGAGGCAGCAGUAGGGAAUCUUCCGCAAUGGGCGAAAGCCUGACGGAGCAACGCCGCGUGAGUGAUGAAGGUCUUCGGAUCGUAAAACUCUGUUAUUAGGGAAGAACAAAUGUGUAAGUAACUAUGCACGUCUUGACGGUACCUAAUCAGAAAGCCACGGCUAACUACGUG
rnacentral:rRNA from 1 species